GUUAAACUCCACCAGGACAAGUUAAACUCCUGUAGCUCAUCGUCAAACGAAGAAUGAAGUCAUUUCAAACUUCUGUGCGCUGAAAAGUGGUGCAUCUGAGAUCAGGGUCGCAUCUUUGCUCCGAACACCCCCACCCGAGUAGGGUCGGACAGAGGGACCCAUUCAAGGGAGAAGCACUGUGCGUUCUGCACAGGCACGUUCUUGGGUGAUUUGUGGUUGGUGAACAAUGGAUGGAGCUUGGCAGAGCAGUGAAAUGGAGUGGAGCACUGGAUGAACGAAGGAACCAGGUUCCAGAAAUAAAAGAACCAGUCGCCAGAUGUCUCAGUUGCUUCAGUCACUUCCUUGUCAUCGGCAGCCACACAGGUGUGACUUCAAAUGUCGAAACAGUUCUGAUCGAGGUGUAUCUUCAAUGGAUUCAAACCAUGUAUGAAGUCAACUGCCAUUUGACUACUGUGUUGAAUACAAGAGCACACCCUCACGGCACACAAGCAUUGUGCGUGCGUUAUUUUUGGAACUGGCACCUUCUUUGCUUAAAAAUUUAAUGACAUCUCGAUGCUCCAUUUUAGCAACAUCAUUCUGAAACAAUGGACAGAAUUCUGAAACAACAAUGUCACAUUAAUGAAACUAAUAAUUGCAUACCUGCAAGUUUAUAAUGAGCCAAAGCCAGAAGACCUAUGGUGCUAAGCAAUACAACACUCAUGUUUUGAACACUGUGUGUGUGUGCGUGCGUGCGUGCGCGCGUGUGUGCGUGUUCAGAGACCAUAUUUGUUCUAAUUCCUUUGUGAUAUAAAUACAAGGAAAUCAGACACAGGUGGAGGCCAUUCAGCCCAUCAUACCUGUGCGACAUCAACACCAUACUAUUUUAUCAACACAAGAUCCAAAGAAGAAAAUGCAAAAUUUAUUUAUUUAUUAUUUUUUUUUUGUUUGUUUUUGUGUUUUUUUAAUUUAUUGUUUAUUUUAAGUUUUUGUAUUUUUUUAAUAAUUAUUUUUUUCUUCUUUUCCCCUCAGGGGAGGGGGUAAGGGCUUGGUUAAAAACACACAAAAUCAAUCACACAACCCCCCUUGACAAGAUCCCUACAAACAGCACUCCGUACACAAUCACCCAUCAAUGCUCAAACGACCUAAAAGUCUUAUCCACAUCCCCAUACCCCUCUAUCUCCAUAACUUCCAGGUACCUAUCUAAUUAUAAUUUAAACUUAUCUACUGUUUCUGCUGUCACUACCUUUCCAGGGAGGCCAUUUCCAUGCAUCAACUACUCUUUGAGUGAAAGUCCCCUGCCUUAUGACCAUCUUCACUCUCCUCUUCUUUACUCAAGAGAGUAAAUUAAAUGGCAACACUUGUCAAUAUUAAGUAAUUUUCAGAUGUUAUUGUGUUGUUCAGUUCAUUGGGCUGUCACGUGCAUGGAAUAUUUUUUGUUGUUUUGGUAAAAGUAGGAUUUCUUCAUAGAAAGCUAUUCGAUGUUGUGGUUUCCCUUCAGUUUCUUUUGGGCAUCUCAUAAAGGCACAUCCUACAUUUGGGUUUAAAUUCUGCCGUUGGGUUUGCAAUGCAUUUUCUUCAUUGUUUUGAUGAUCAAGCCAGGCAAACAAUAAGUUAUUGUUCAGAAAAGGCCUCUUUAUUGCUUGAUCUCACUUCAAAGCACACAGCAUAUUCACAAGACCUCAUCAAUUCUGUAAUGGAGCUAUUGAAGAAAUAAUGUGCCAAAGAUUCUGGAAGAAAUACAAAUUCAGAUCUCUUUUCAUAACAAAAUUAUUUUGUGGCAUUGCAGGAAUAGAAACUUCCUCAACGGUUAGGGCAUUUGUUACCUGCCAGUUGUCCUUCCAUUGAAAGAUUGCUGAAUACCUUUCCAGAACAUUAAAAACUGAUUGGUCUCCAAGGGUUACCAGGCAGGAGCUCAGAGCCAAGCCCCUUGGGCUUUCGAACAGCACGGCUGGCUUCUGGGUGGUUCAGUUAUUUUUAUCUUCUCAGAAUGACAAUGAGGUAUAGCAACCUCCUCUCAAUGUCGACAUAAGGGUGAAAUAUCCUGCACUUGCUUUGUUUAUAUGGCAUUCAUGCAUGAUUAAUGCCUCCACCUUGGCAACAGUUUGCGUCUGUCGCAUCUGCCUGUGCUCCUAAUCCAGGUGUACGGUAUGUCCAAGGGAUUCAUGCCCACGUUUAAAGUCAAGCGCCAUUUGACGAUUGUAGUCUGCAUUUCAUCUUCAGUCAGGAGAUCAUCACUGAUUGCAAUCAGUCUUCCACAACACGUAGUCAGAGCCCCAACAGUGAGGGCCUUUAAUAUUCUUGUAGAUCAUCACUGGAAAUGCGGGCAGAUCAGUUUGUGUUGACUCUCCCACAUGCCCUAUCAAAAGUAUCAACUUCACAAAGAACGGAACAAUCAAAAGGAUUAACCAUCCCCUCUUAUUGUAUAUAUUUCUGCAUUUAUGUAUGUCAAUGCUUUAAGUAACAUUGUGUGAGAAAGGCUGGGGUGGAGGGGGGGAGCACAGCACACCUUGUGAACAAAUAAUCACUUUGAAAACAUGAUAUACCAAAUAAAUUUGCACAUCAGUGAAAGCAUUUGCGAUUACACCUGUGUUCAGCCCAAUUGCUGAAUCUGCAGAUAGCAUCGGGUGAAACAGAACAUUGAAGUUUUAAAUGUUUUAUACUUUGUUUUGAACACAAUGGACUCGAGAGAAGAUAAUUUUUGAUAAGAUGAAUGCCAAUUUACAGACUCCUUUCAUUCAGACUUAUACUGACAAAUAUACAAUAAAUUUUGAAAUGUUAUAGCUCACUGAGGAGCCUGUGUACAUUAUUACCAAAGGGAUGUGGACACACCUGCACCAGACUGUGAAGGACUGAAGAGUACAGCUUGCUAUAUACUCCGAGUAGUUAUUUCGGUGAUAUAGUAGGUGGAUAGGAGGGUGGAGUUAUGAAACCUUCAUUAUCUCAAUAAUUAAUUUCUGCAUUUUAACCAUAAUUCUCUCUUUUGAUUGUCAUUUAGUCCCGAGUUUAAGGAUCUACACGGUGAUACGAUGUGAAAGCGUUUUUAGAGUCGCGCAGUCCAUUUAUAGUGUUGCCUCCUCAACUGGGAUUAUGAAACUUUACUCUUUCAUUUAAUCCAGGCAUGCCUCUUCCUGUCACAUCGCUGACAGGUCGAGUCAAAAGACAGCAUGUUGCACUUCACAAACAUAUUGGAUGUCCUUUAUGUGAAUCACACUGAGGAUGCAAAAUGAAGUGAAUAACAAGUGGAAAAGGGAUCUUUUAUAACAUGUAGUUGUUUGUUAUUGUUGUUGUUGUUGUUGUUGUUUGUGCACUCCUGUGUAUUUUUUUUAUUGCUUUUAGAAGUAUUACUAUGUAUAAUUUUGUGUGCUCCUUCUGUGUCCUUCUACAGGAUUCCAGAAUAGCAAGAGCGACAAUUGCUUUGCAAUACAUGUCCCCUACCGGUCCCAAUGAAUGUUUGGGAGAUUAAAAAAAAAUUUGCAUUUAAUGCAUGCUUGAGCCGAUACCGGAAUCAAAAUGAAGAAGAAGAGCCUAUCUACCCCACUGUUUCAUUAGUUUUUAGGCUUUGCCUAUUUAAUAUUAAAAAUACAGUCAAUUCUUGUUUAACGUUAUAGUUACUUUCUUGAAAAUUGUGACUUUUACUGAAACGGCUUUAAGCAAAUUCAAUUUCCCCAUAAUAAUUAAUGUAAAUGGGUA
rnacentral:lncRNA from 1 species